rnacentral:rRNA from 1 species
ACUGAGGGGGAGUCAGAAUUCCAGGUGUAGGGGUGAAAUCUGUAGAUAUCUGGAAUAAUACCGGUGGCGAAGGCGGAUUCCUGGCAGAUGAUUGACUCUGAGGUGCGAAAGUGCGGGGAGCAAACAGGAUUAGAUACCCUGGUAGUCCGCACGGUAAACGAUGUGCACUAGGUGUUGGAGCGGAUGCUUCACUGCCGGAGUUAACGUGUUAAGUGCACCGCCUGGGAAGUAUGCCCGCAAGGGUGAAACUC